AGAGGGUGCGAGCGUUAAUCGGAAUUACUGGGCGUAAAGGGUGCGUAGGUGGUUGAAUAGGUUAGGUGUGAAAGUCUCGGGCUUAACCUGAGGAUUGCGCUUAAAACUGUUCGGCUAGAGUACUGUAGAGGGAAGUGGAAUUUCCGGUGUAGCGGUGAAAUGCGUAGAUAUCGGAAGGAACACCAGUGGCGAAGGCGACUUCCUGGACAGAUACUGACACUGAGGCACGAAAGCAUGGGGAGCAAACAGGAUUAGAUACCCUGGUAGUCCAUGCCGUAAACGAUGAGAACUGGCUGUUUUGCACCGUGAGGUGCGAAGUAGCGAAGCUAACGCGUUAAGUUCUCCGCCUGGGGAGUACGGCCGCAAGGCUA
rnacentral:rRNA from 1 species